rnacentral:rRNA from 1 species
AUUUGUGCCCGUACAACCCUGAACAUACCUGAUUGUAUCUGAUAUUAGAAGCUAAGAAGGGUCGGGCCUGGUUAGUGUUUGGAUGGGAGAAAGCAUAGAAAGGUAAUCAGGCCACAAGGC